rfam:Triticum aestivum genome assembly, contig: Triticum_aestivum_CS42_TGACv1_scaffold_221834_3B
GUAGUAUUCCCUCCGUCCCAAAAUUCUUGUCUUACAUUUGUUUAGAUAGGGAUGUAUCUAACACUAAAAUGUAACUAGAUACAUCCGUAUUUAGACAAAUUUAAGACAAGAAUUUUGGGACGGAGGGAGUACAAA